GGAAUAGAUAAGAAAGAGAAUGGCUGACUUCUGGAUUUCCAGGUUUGUGAGAGCCUCGCGAGGUUGAGAAAAGACCAAGUGAUUGGAGCCUCACUGUAAAGAUAAAGGAAGAUUAUUCAACCCUCCAGUGGUACUUGCCAAGAGAUACAGAAGUCUGGAUCUGCAAUGAGGCUGCAAGGUCCCCUGACAUGGACCAGAAUACUGCAGAAAGCGCCAGUGUGCAGUAGAUCCUCUUCAUAAGGCCCUGCCAGAAAUAUCCCCAGGUUGAAGCAAUUCACAACCGCUCACCUUGCUGUGAAUGCUGUGCAAAGUUGUAGUUUGUGAACAUAUGGGAACCAGCCGUUAAUUCAGGCUUCUCAGAGAUUACAAAGCCUGCAGAGACUGUAAAAUCAGCACUGACUGCCAAAACUAGAGAGGAUUUAUCACUACCAGAUAAAACUGGCCAGCACAAUCCAAACACCUGGGCAAUUUUGCCUUAUCUUCCUAGAAUGAAACAGAAGUCAAAUGAAAAUGAAAGAAGUUAAAAAAGUACACGGACUUCAUUUAAAGCCUGGAGAUUCAAAGAGAGGAAACUGAAGCAUGGAAUCAUAAGAUCCCCCAUUUCCGAG